GCCAGGCGUGGUGGCGCACGCCUGUAAUCCCAGCACUUGGGAGGCUGAGGCAGGAGGAUCACUUUGAGUUGAAGACCAGCCUGGGCUACAAAGUGAGUUCCAGGUCAGUCUCAACUACAUAGUGAGACCCUGUCUCAA
rfam:Fukomys damarensis contig76623, whole genome shotgun sequence.